rnacentral:rRNA from 1 species
UACAGAGGUCCCAAGCGUUGUCCGGAAUCACUGGGCGUAAAGGGCGCGUAGGCGGCUCAUGAAGGCUGUGGUGAAAGUCCGGGGCUCAACCUCGGAUCGGCCGUGGCGACUCGUGGGCUGGAGCACUGUAGAGGCGGGUGGAAUUCCGGGUGUAGCGGUGGAAUGCGUAGAGAUCCGGAAGAACACCGGUGGCGAAGGCGGUCUGCUGGGCAGUUGCUGACACUGAGGCGCGACAGCGUGGGGAGCAAACAGG